CCUACGGGAGGCAGCAGUGGGGAAUAUUGGGCAAUGGGCGCAAGCCUGACCCAGCAACGCCGCGUGAAGGCAUAAGGCUCUCGGGUUGUAAACUUCUUUUCUCAGGGACGAAGCAAGAGACGGUACCUGAGGAAUAAGCCACGGCUAACUACGUGCCAGCAGCCGCGGUAAUACGUCGGUGGCAAGCGUUAUCCGGAUUUACUGGGGGUAAAGGGCGUGUAGUCGGGACUGCAAGUCAGAUGUGAAAACCAUGGGCUCAACCUAUGGCCUGCAUUUGAUACUGUAGUUCUUGAGUACUGGAGAGGCAGACGGAAUUCCUAGUGUAGCGGUGAAAUGCGUAGAUAUUAGGAGGAACACCAGUGGCGAAGGCGGUCUGAUGGACAGCAACUGACGCUGAGGCGCGAAAGCGUGGGGAGCGAACAGGAUUAGAUACCCGGGUAGUC
rnacentral:rRNA from 1 species